rnacentral:rRNA from 1 species
AUUGAACGCUGGCGGAAUGCUUUUCACAUGCAAGUCGAGCGGCAGCGCGGGGGCAACCCUGGCGGCGAGCGGCGAACGGGUGAGUAACACAUCGGAACGUACCCAGCUGUGGGGGAUAGCCCGGCGAAAGCCGGAUUAAUACCGCAUACGACCUGAGGGUGAACGGGGGGGAUCGCAAGGCCUCUCGCAGUUGGAGCGGCCGAGGGCGGAUUAGCUAGUUGGUGGGGUAAAGGCUCACCAAGGCGACGAUCCGUAGCUGGUCUGAGAGGACGACCAGCCACACUGGAACUGAGACACGGUCCAGACUCCUACGGGAGGCAGCAGUGGGGAAUUUUGGACAAUGGGGGCAACCCUGAUCCAGCCAUUCCGCGUGAGUGAAGAAGGCCUUCGGGUUGUAAAGCUCUUUCGGCAGGAACGAAACGGUGGAGGCUAAUACCUUUCAUCAAUGACGGUACCUGAAGAAGAAGCACCGGCUAACUACGUGCCAGCCGCCGCCGUAA